rnacentral:rRNA from 1 species
CCUACGGGAGGCAGCAGUGAGGAAUAUUGGUCAAUGGGCGGAAGCCUGAACCAGCCAAGUCGCGUGCAGGAUGACGGCCCUACGGGUUGUAAACUGCUUUUAUCCGGGAAUAACGCGCCUUACGCGUAGGGUUUUGCAUGUACCGUAUGAAUAAGGACCGGCUAAUUCCGUGCCAGCAGCCGCGGUCAUACGGAAGGUCCGGGCGUUAUCCGGAUUUAUUGGGUUUAAAGGGAGCGUAGGCCGCAUGUCAAGCGUGCUGUGAAAUGUCCGGGCUCAACCCGGGCCUUGCAGCGCGAACUGGCGUGCUUGAGUCCGCGGAAGGCAGGCGGAAUUCGUGGUGUAGCGGUGAAAUGCUUAGAUAUGACGAAGAACCCCGAUUGCGAAGGCAGCUUGCUGCAGCGGAACUGACGCUGAUGCUCGAAAGCGCGGGUAUCGAACAGGAUUAGAUACCCGUGUAGUC